GUGGGGGAUAUUGCACAAUGGAGGAAACUCUGAUGCAGCGACGCCGCGUGAGUGAAGAAGUAUUUCGGUAUGUAAAGCUCUAUCAGCAGGGAAGAUAAUGACAGUACCUGACUAAGAAGCCCCGGCUAACUACGUGCCAGCAGCCGCGGUAAUACGUAGGGGGCAAGCGUUAUCCGGAUUUACUGGGUGUAAAGGGAGCGUAGACGGAAUGGCAAGUCUGAAGUGAAAUCCUGCGGCUUAACUGCAGAAUUGCUUUGGAAACUGUCAAUCUGGAGUGUUGGAGAGGUAAGCGGAAUUCCUGGUGUAGCGGUGAAAUGCGUAGAUAUCAGGAAGAACACCGGAGGCGAAGGCGGCUUACUGGACAAUAACUGACGUUGAGGCUCGAAAGCGUGGGGAGCAAACAGGAUUAGAAACCCGGGUAGUCC
rnacentral:rRNA from 1 species